UACGUAGGGGGCAAGCGUUGUCCGGAUUUAUUGGGCGUAAAAGGCUUGUAGGUGGCCACGCCAAGUCGGAUGUGAAAUCUCCCGGCUCAACUGGGAGGGGUCAUUCGAUACUGGCGGGCUCGAGGCCGGUAGGGGGAAGUGGAAUUCCCGGUGUAGCGGUGAAAUGCGCAGAUAUCAGGAGGAACACCCGUGGCGAAAGCGGCUCUCUGGGACGGUACUGACGCUGAGACGCGAAAGCGUGGGGAGCAAACAGG
rnacentral:rRNA from 1 species